rnacentral:lncRNA from 1 species
GCUUGACAGAAUGUUUUGAUUUAUUUCCUCUGUGUAAUGGACUGUCUUAAGAUUAGCUACAAAUGUACAUGUGCAGUUGCUACAUCUUAAAGUUGAUAAAUUAAAAGAUAUCUUCAACAAUUAUGGCUGGAGGCAUUUAUAAUUGAUAUUAUAAACUACAAGACAGUAUCUUUAAACACUUUUGUGUACAACAACAAUUAUUAAGAAAACAAG